rnacentral:rRNA from 1 species
GAUUCCUAGUGAUUAGAGUUUGAUCAUGGCUCAGAUUGAACGCUGGCGGCACGCUUAACACAUGCAAGUCGAGCGGGGGAAGGUAGCUUGCUACCUAACCUAGCGGCGGACGGGUGAGUAAUGCUUAGGAAUCUGCCUAUUAGUGGGGGACAACAUUCCGAAAGGAAUGCUAAUACCGCAUACGUCCUACGGGAGAAAGCAGGGGAUCUUCGGACCUUGCGCUAAUAGAUGAGCCUAAGUCGGAUUAGCUAGUUGGUGGGGUAAAGGCCUACCAAGGCGACGAUCUGUAGCGGGUCUGAGAGGAUGAUCCGCCACACUGGGACUGAGACACGGCCCAGACCCCUACGGGAGGCAGCAGUGGGGAAUAUUGGACAAUGGGCGGAAGCCUGAUCCAGCCAUGCCGCGUGUGUGAAGAAGGCCUUAUGGUUGUAAAGCACUUUAAGCGAGGAGGAGGCUACUCUAGUUAAUACCUAGAGAUAGUGGACGUUACUCGCAGAAUAAGCACCGGCUAACUCUGUGCCAGCAGCCGCGGUAAUACAGAGGGUGCGAGCGUUAAUCGGAUUUACUGGGCGUAAAGCGUGCGUAGGCGGCUGAUUAAGUCGGAUGUGAAAUCCCUGAGCUUAACUUAGGAAUUGCAUUCGAUACUGGUCAGCUAGAGUAUGGGAGAGGAUGGUAGAAUUCCAGGUGUAGCGGUGAAAUGCGUAGAGAUCUGGAGGAAUACCGAUGGCGAAGGCAGCCAUCUGGCCUAAUACUGACGCUGAGGUACGAAAGCAUGGGGAGCAAACAGGAUUAGAUACCCUGGUAGUCCAUGCCGUAAACGAUGUCUACUAGCCGUUGGGGCCUUUGAGGCUUUAGUGGCGCAGCUAACGCGAUAAGUAGACCGCCUGGGGAGUACGGUCGCAAGACUAAAACUCAAAUGAAUUGACGGGGGCCCGCACAAGCGGUGGAGCAUGUGGUUUAAUUCGAUGCAACGCGAAGAACCUUACCUGGUCUUGACAUAGUAAGAACUUUCCAGAGAUGGAUUGGUGCCUUCGGGAACUUACAUACAGGUGCUGCAUGGCUGUCGUCAGCUCGUGUCGUGAGAUGUUGGGUUAAGUCCCGCAACGAGCGCAACCCUUUUCCUUAUUUGCCAGCGGGUUAAGCCGGGAACUUUAAGGAUACUGCCAGUGACAAACUGGAGGAAGGCGGGGACGACGUCAAGUCAUCAUGGCCCUUACGACCAGGGCUACACACGUGCUACAAUGGUCGGUACAAAGGGUUGCUACCUAGCGAUAGGAUGCUAAUCUCAAAAAGCCGAUCGUAGUCCGGAUUGGAGUCUGCAACUCGACUCCAUGAAGUCGGAAUCGCUAGUAAUCGCGGAUCAGAAUGCCGCGGUGAAUACGUUCCCGGGCCUUGUAGACACCGCC